rnacentral:rRNA from 1 species
CCUAACACAUGCAAGUCGAACGGUAACAGGAAGAAGCUUGCUUCUUUGCUGACGAGUGGCGGACGGGUGAGUAAUGUCUGGGAAACUGCCUGAUGGAGGGGGAUAACUACUGGAAACGGUAGCUAAUACCGCAUAACGUCGCAAGACCAAAGAGGGGGACCUUCGGGCCUCUUGCCAUCGGAUGUGCCCAGAUGGGAUUAGCUAGUAGGUGGGGUAACGGCUCACCUAGGCGACGAUCCCUAGCUGGUCUGAGAGGAUGACCAGCCACACUGGAACUGAGACACGGUCCAGACUCCUACGGGAGGCAGCAGUGGGGAAUAUUGCACAAUGGGCGCAAGCCUGAUGCAGCCAUGCCGCGUGUAUGAAGAAGGCCUUCGGGUUGUAAAGUACUUUCAGCGGGGAGGAAGGGAGUAAAGUUAAUACCUUUGCUCAUUGACGUUACCCGCAGAAGAAGCACCGGCUAACUCCGUGCCAGCAGCCGC